GCAAGUCGAGCGGUAACAGGGGUAGCUUGCUACCCGCUGACGAGCGGCGGACGGGUGAGUAAUGCUUGGGUAUCUGCCUUGUGGUGGGGGACAACAGUUGGAAACGACUGCUAAUACCGCAUAAUCUCUACGGAGCAAAGUGGGGGACCUUCGGGCCUCACGCCACAAGAUGAACCCAAGUGGGAUUAGCUAGUUGGUAAGGUAACGGCUUACCAAGGCGACGAUCCCUAGCUGGUCUGAGAGGAUGACC
rnacentral:rRNA from 1 species